rnacentral:rRNA from 1 species
CUACGGGAGGCAGCAGUGGGGAAUCUUAGACAAUGGGCGAAAGCCUGAUCUAGCCAUGCCGCGUGAGUGAUGAAGGCCCUAGGGUCGUAAAGCUCUUUCGCCAGGGAUGAUAAUGACAGUACCUGGUAAAGAAACCCCGGCUAACUCCGUGCCAGCAGCCGCGGUAAUACGGAGGGGGUUAGCGUUGUUCGGAAUUACUGGGCGUAAAGCGCGCGUAGGCGGAUUGGAAAGUUGGGGGUGAAAUCCCAGGGCUCAACCCUGGAACUGCCUCCAAAACUAUCAAUCUAGAGUUCGAGAGAGGUGAGUGGAAUUCCGAGUGUAGAGGUGAAAUUCGUAGAUAUUAGAAGGAACAUCAGUGGCGAAGGCGACUCCCUGGCCAAAGACUGACGCUCAUGUGCGAAAGUGUGGGUAGCGAACAGGAUUAGAUACCCUGGUAGUCCACACCGUAAACGCUGUCUACUAGCUGUUUGUGAGUUUAACUCGUGAGUAGCGAAGCUAACGCGCUAAGUAGACCGCCUGGGGAGUACGGCCGCAAGGUUAAAACUCAAAU